AUAAGAUAAUAUAAACUUAAUUGACAAUACGUCUUAGUCCCUCUGGAUGAGGCCUCAGCCAUUGGUAUUAGAUGAUGCAGCACUGAGUAUUACCCGCGGUUUGGCAAGAAGAGAGGACCAUAGCAGGCAGCUAUUUAU
rnacentral:misc_RNA from 1 species